GGGUUGCAGUCAUAGUGCUUGUAGGCUUCUGCACGUGUGCUCACUGUGUUUCAGAGCAAAUGCCAACACAAUGUGCCCAACAGAUUGUACCCUAACAAAUCUUCCACUCCAAUAAACGUACCUAAGUUGCAAUGCUACCUGUCUAAUAAUCCUUCUGUUCAUUUUGUGGAAUUUCUCACGGCUGGUUUCACUAAUGGGUUUCACACAGGGCUCGUGUCAUUCGCCAAAGGUUUUUUGGAAAGCCCCAACUUACAGUUGGCACUCACUGAUCCAGACAGCAUACAAGAACUCUUAGAGAAAGAAAUCACCAAUGGUUUCAUGAUAGGUCCUUACUCUACUCCUCCUUUCACUUCCUAGAGGACAAACCCUC